AUCACAUUUAACGAGAAAAAAAAAUAAACAUAAGAAAAACCUCCAAUUGAAAAUAAUAAACAAGUCAAAGUAGGUAGCUUAGUGAAAAUGAAGUCUAUUAUCUUUAUUGCUGCUUCUCCAUUUGGAUCCUUAAACAAACUAUGGAAUCUGCAACGAGUUGGAUCCACUCUUUGUUGUUCUUCAGCUUCAUUAUUGCUUCUUUACAUCUACUAGACAGACUGAUUAUCUCAAGUAAACUAACCACCGACCAAAAUAUCCAGCUGAUCAAGAAGCAGCCUCAGCUGCCUCUGCAUUUCAACUCUGAUGGAACCUUCAAAAUUCUGCAGGUGGCGGAUAUGCACUACGGGAAUGGGAUGGUGACUCGGUGUAGAGAUGUAUUGGAGAGUGAGUUCAAUUACUGUUCCGACCUCAACACUACUCAGUUCUUGAGGAAAAUGAUUGAGAUUGAAAAUCCAGACUUGAUUGUAUUUACCGGAGAUAACAUCUUCGGAGCAAGUGCCACUGAUGCUGCAGAAUCUUUGUUUGAAGUUUUUGCUCCUGCUAUAGAAUCCGAAAUUCCAUGGGCAGCAGUUUUAGGGAACCAUGAUCAAGAAUCUACCAUGAAUCGUGAGGAACUUAUGUAUUUAAUCUCCCUGAUGGAUUAUUCUGUGUCACAAACCUUCCCAUCAACCAAAGUUACCUCGGAUCCAGUAAAACAGCAACCAAGAACAAAUAUUUAUGGAUUUGGCAACUACAAUCUUGAAGUGUGGGGUGCACCUGGCUCAUACUUUAGUAACAGCAGCAUUCUUAACCUAUAUUUUCUAGACAGUGGAGAUAGAGCUGUUGUCAAUGGAGUUCGGACUUAUAACUGGAUCAGGGAAUCUCAACUAAGUUGGCUUCAUGAUAUUUCUAAAAGAUAUCAGGUCAAUACAAUCACAGGGACAGCAUUAGCCUUCCAUGUGCAUGACUUGGGACAAUGGAAGAAUGCUGAUCAAUCAGUCGAGAGUUCUCUGCCAAUGAUGCAUCCUGCACUAGCGUUUUUCCAUAUCCCGAUUCCAGAAAUUCGUCAAGGUCCCAUAAAAGAUAUCGUUGGCACGGACCGGGAAUAUGUGGCAUGUUCGUCAGUAAACUCCGGAGUUUUGAAGACCUUUGUCUCAAUGGGAGAUGUUAAGGCUGUUUUUAUAGGUCAUGAUCAUACUAAUGAUUUCUGUGGGAAUCUAGAAGGUAUAUGGUUUUGCUACGGUGGAUGCUUUGGAUAUCAUGGUUAUGGUGUAGCUGGAUGGCCUAGAAGAGCAAGGGUUAUACAGGCAGAACUUGGAAAGGGAAAAGAGUUGUGGAUGGGUGUGGAGAAGAUCAGAACAUGGAAACGACUUGAUGAUGGUGUACUGACCAAGUUUGAUGAGCAAGUCUUGUGGGACAGACAAUCAUUAGCAUGGAAGUAUCAGGGGUGGUACGGAAAGCGGGUGAGUGGAUAGGGAGAAGCUGCUCAAGGGAGAAUUGAAGAUGAUUGAUAAUCAGUAUGAAUGUAUAUGGACAAAGUAAUCUAGGAGAAGCAUUGGAGGGUGAAGUUGGAAAACAGAACAAGAGGAGAUCACUCUUGGUAGAGGCGGAUGGAGCUUAUAUAUUAUGAACCCAUUAAUUUUAAAUCCUAUAUCUGCCUCUACUCUUGGGAAUAGGAAAAGUUUGUCUAUGAAAAGCCAAGAGUUGAUCCACAUUUGAAAUAUUAUUUAAAAGAAAAGAAAGAACCUUGACAAAGUUUGGUUCAAAAGCCGCCUGAGCCACCUUAUCCGUGUAUGAACCUUGACGAAUGACGAAGUCAUUUAAAACUCGUGAAUGUCUGCUACACUGUGAUGAACAAGUGAAAUUGAGAGGUUAAAGAAGGAUUGACUCGAUAUGGUCGAUGUACGUUUUUGCAAUUUUUUAGCUGGCUCUUGAUUUGGUUGAUAUUUCCACGUAAAACCCUUUGCAGUUUGAGGGGAAUUUAUUUCAAUUAUGUAACAGUUUGAGUUGUAAUGUCCAAGCCUUGCAAUAUUGCUGCAAGAGUAGGCUAGAGAGUUGUAACUGUGUUGUUGUGAACAAAAGAAUUAGUAUCAAGUCUGUUCCACGUUUUACGCUGA